GUUUUGGUACUUAUAUUUUGGAAGAACACGUUGACCCAAUCGUUGUUAAAGUUGUGGUCUUUUGGUAACUUUUUGUGAAUUAAACAUUGUAGAACUUGUAAUUGAAUAUGUGAAUUGAAAAUUGUGGUCUUUGGUACUUUCUUUGUGGUGCUUCAAACUUAGUUUCAUUUGUUUAAAAAAAAAUGGCGGGAAAAUUGGAACACCCAGAAAAUGGAAAUAUGGGGUUAAAAUUUUGGCCGGAAAAUAUAAAAUAUGGGUUAAAAUGAUGUAACUAAGGCUAACUAAUGAUGUCAUUAAUGAUAAGUGAUGAAGUGAACAAGUAUUGACAUUAAUUUAUACGAACUUAAAAUUUUUAAAUUUCUGAAUCUCCAAAUGGACCCCUCUUAGCCAAGUUAAACACUAAAUUUGAGAGUGAAAAUUCGUUUCAAUACUUAUUCAGGUAAUCACUUAAUGUUGUGACCUAACUAAUGUCCAAUUUUCGGUUCUCAAAACUAAUGUCCAAUUUUUAAAACAUUAAAUAUUUUUUUGGAGUGUUUUUAAAGGUGUAAAUUACAUAUUACCACUUCAGGUUUGUGGUCAAUUUUAAUUCCUUACAACAUCUUUUAAACAUUUCAAUUUCAUACAUUUACUUAUCAUUUUAUUUCAAUUUCAUACAUCCGUUAGAAAAUCUGUCAAGUAAACGGUUAUGUGAUGACAUGAUAAAUAUGGGAUCCACAUUUGUGCUGACAUGGCUGCCAAAUUUGUGCCAUGUGGCAAAAAAAAUAAUUUUUAUACAUUUAAAAUAUUAUAAUAUUUAUCCUAUU
rnacentral:lncRNA from 1 species